AUUGAACGCUGGCGGCAGGCCUAACACAUGCAAGUCGAGCGGAUGAAGGGAGCUUGCUCCUGGAUUCAGCGGCGGACGGGUAAGUAAUGCCUAUGAAUCUGCCUGGUAGUGGUUUAUAACGUCCGGAAACGGGCGCUAAUACCGCAUACUUCCUGAUGGAGAAAGUGGGGGAUCUUCGGACCUCACGCUAUGAUAUGAGCCUAGGUCGGAUUAGCUAGUUGGUGGGGUAAAGGCCUACCAAGGCGACGAUCCGUAACUGGUCUGAGAGGAUGAUCAGUCACACUGGAACUGAGACACGGUCAAGACUACUACGGGAGGCAGCAGUGGGGAAUAUUGGACAAUGGGCGAAAGCCUGAUCCAGCCAUGCCGCGUGUGUGAAGAAGGUCUUCGGAUUGUAAAGCACUUUAAGUGGGGAGGAAGGGCAGUAAGUUAAUACCUUGCUGUUUUGACGUUAACAACAGAAUAAGCACCGGCUAACUUCGUG
rnacentral:rRNA from 1 species